rnacentral:rRNA from 1 species
GAUGAACGCUGGCGGCGUGCUUAACACAUGCAAGUCGAACGGGAAACCUUUUAUUGUAGCUUCGGCAGAUUUAGCUGGUUUCUAGUGGCGGACGGGUGAGUAUCGCGUGGGUAACCUGCUCUAUACAGGGGGAUAACAACCAGAAAUGGUUGCUAAUACCGCAUAAGCGCACAGGGCCGCAUGGUCCGGUGUGAAAAACUCCGGUGGUAUAGGAUGGACCCGCGUUGGAUUAGCCAGUUGGCAGGGUAACGGCCUACCAAAGCGACGAUCCAUAGCCGGCCUGGGAGGGUGAACGGCCGCAUUGGGACUGAGACACGGCCCAGACUCCUACGGGAGGCAGCAGUGGGGAAUAUUGCACAAUGGGGGAAACCCUGAUGCAGCGACGCCGCGUGAAGGGAGAAGUAUCUCGGUAUGUAAACUUCUAUGAGCAGGGAAGAUAGUGACGGUACCUGACUAAGAAGCCCCGGCUAACUACGUG